rnacentral:rRNA from 1 species
CUCCUUGGGUGGCGAGUGGCGGACGGGUGAGGAAUACAUCGGAAUCUGCCUAUUUGUGGGGGAUAACGUAGGGAAACUUACGCUAAUACCGCAUACGACCUACGGGUGAAAGCGGAGGACCUUCGGGCUUCGCGCAGAUAGAUGAGCCGAUGUCGGAUUAGCUAGUUGGCGGGGUAAAGGCCCACCAAGGCGACGAUCCGUAGCUGGUCUGAGAGGAUGAUCAGCCACACUGGAACUGAGACACGGUCCAGACUCCUACGGGAGGCAGCAGUGGGGAAUAUUGGACAAUGGGCGCAAGCCUGAUCCAGCCAUGCCGCGUGGGUGAAGAAGGCCUUCGGGUUGUAAAGCCCUUUUGUUGGGAAAGAAAAGCAGUCGGUUAAUACCCGAUUGUUCUGACGGUACCCAAAGAAUAAGCACCGGCUAACUUCGUGCCAGCAGCCGCGGUAAUACGAAGGGUGCAAGCGUUACUCGGAAUUACUGGGCGUAAAGCGUGCGUAGGUGGUUUGUUAAGUCUGAUGUGAAAGCCCUGGGCUCAACCUGGGAAUUGCAUUGGAUACUGGCAGGCUAGAGUGCGGUAGAGGGUAGUGGAAUUCCCGGUG